GAUGAAGAACGUAGCGAAAUGCGAUAAGUAGUGUGAAUUGCAGAAUUCAGUGAAUCAUCGAAUCUUUGAACGCACAUUGCGCCCCUUGGUAUUCCAUGGGGCAUGCCUGUUCGAGCGUCAUUUGUACCCUCAAGCUUUGCUUGGUGUUGGGCGUCUUGUCUUGUAUUAGACUCGCCUUAAAGUCAUUGGCAGCCAGUGUUUUUGGUAGUAAGCGCAGCACAUUUUGCGUCUUAGUCCUUGAAUCGUGGCAUCCAUGAAGCCUUUUUUCACUUUUGACCUCGGAUCAGGUAGGGAUACCCGCUGAACUUCAGCAUAUCAAUAAGCGGAGGA
rnacentral:misc_RNA from 1 species